GCCAGGCGUGGUGGCGGGUGCCUGUAAUCCCAGCUACUCGGGAGGCUGAGGCAGGAGAAUCGCUUGAACCCGGGAGGUGGAGGUUGCAGUGAGCCGAUAUCGUGCCACUGCACUCCAGCCUGGGUUACAGAGUAAGACUCUGUUUAAAAAAAAAAAAAAAAAGUGUGGGGGGGAGGAUUGUCUGAGCCAGGCGGUUGAGGCUGCAGUGAGCUGUGAUGGUGCCACUGCACUCCAGCCUGGGUGACAGAGUGAGACUCUGUCUCAA
rfam:Nomascus leucogenys chromosome 8, whole genome shotgun sequence.